UCUCUCUCUCUCUCUCUCUCUCUACUUGCUGAUACCCAUCCCAUUCCCUUAUGAGUUGUGACCUGUCUUGGCUGCAUUGGUGGGUCCAUACUCUUUCUCAUUCUGUGGCUCUCUCUCUCUCUCUCUUUCCACAUGCACAUACUCCUUUCUCUUGUCCAAAUUUGUAGUGUACUUUUUGGUUUGGCCUCUCCUCUGGCCUUAUAUUUUUUCUUUUCUGGUUGGACUCUCUCUCUCUCUCUCUCUGGAUGUGCCUUUCUCUAUCUAAAAUUUGUAGUGGGCAUUGUCUGGAGUUGUUGCUCUCUCUUCUUAUUGUUAUCAAUGUUAUGUAGCAGGCUUUGCUUUGUCUUCAUGCUUGAGGCCUUCUGCGACUUUCUCUCUCUCUCUCUAAGGUUGCAACCUUAAACAAUCCAAUUAAGGCCUACUGCUGCUCUCUCCCUAUAAGAUUGCAAUAUUAAACAAUCCAAUUAAGGCACGCAUCCAAAUUUUAUCAUAACAUGUAAUUUUGAUCUAAAAAAUUAUUAGGAUUAUUUAAAAAUCCAUUUUUAUGUCUAAUUAUAAAAAAUUAAACUUGAAAAAUGGUUUAAAUCAAGUGGAUUUAUAAAUAUAUGAAAAUUUUGAAAAUUGACGUUCUAGAUAAUGUGUUGUAAGAUACAUUAUUUUUGAGACUCAAAAUCUUUUUGUUUUUCAUAGUCAUAUAUCUUGACAUAUGUCUUGAUGAUGUUGAGAUGAGAGGGUUUUUUAAUAUUAAAAUAACUUUUUUCAUUGGAUUUUAGAUGUGCAUAUGUAAUUAUAAGGUUGCAACCUUAGAAUUAGGUCUGUGUUUGAUAGGUAGGAGCAGAGUUUGAAAACUCGUCGAGUCGAGCCGGAUUCGUUAGGUUCGACUCGGGAAUCGUCUGCAAUCGAGUUGGUUUCAUAAAAAAAUAGGGAAUCGCUCGUGUCUAGAGGGAACCGCGCGAUUCCCAAUAGUGAAUCACGUGUCUUACAUGUGGCCGUCGCCCGUGUCCAGAGGGAACUGCACGAUUCUCAAUAGUGAAUCGUGAGUCUUAUACGUGGCCGCCUCACAGGAGCAAUACGUGGCAAAAUCGGGAAUCGCCCGUGUCUAGAGGGAACAGUUGGAAUCGCCCGUGUUUAGAGGGAACCAUGCGAUUCCCAAUAGUGAAUUGCGAGUCUUACACGUGGCCGUCGUCUGUGUUCAGAGGGAACCAUGCGAUGCGAUUCUCAAUAGUGAAUCGCGAGUCUUACACGUGGUUGCCUCACGGGACCAACACGUGGCACCUAAAAAUCCUCCACACGUGGUAACUCACAUCACAUGUCGGCCCCAUCGCUUUUCUACACGCGCAAUACAACAUCUAUUACACAGGAAUUUAUAGAAAACAAAGCAACGCUCAUCCUUCGAUAUGAGAUAAUUCCUACAAAAAGUCAUUAAAGCAAGAAGAUUGAAUAUAUUAUUAAAGAAACUAAUAAAAUCCCAUUAAGCAACGUGGCGGCGUUGGUUGACAUCUUCGAUUUUUCGGUAGACGUCUAGAGUUCGAACCCCUUAGCGCGCGUCCUCGUUUAUAUUUUUGUUGUCAAAAAAAUAAACAAAGGCAGAAAAUACUGUUGUAAAAAAAUAGAAAAAAUAAAAAAUAAAAGACUUUUCAAGAUACAGAUAAAAAAGAUAAUACAACAUUUUUUUUAUUUUUUUUGUAAAAAAAAUACAAAGUAAUAUAACAAGUAUUUCUCGCAAAAAAUAAAACAAAAGGCAUAAAAAAAUAAAAUGUAUUUUGGCUGCAUCAUUUUUUAUUUUUCUUGUAAAACAAAAUAAAAAGUAAUACAGCAAGCAAAAAAAAAAUGUAGUACAAUAUCUUCUUCUUUUGUCAAAAAAAAAAGAAGAAGAUAAUCAACAAGUAUCAUAUUUUUCUUGUAAAAAGAAAUAAAAGAUAAGACAAAAAGUAUUUCUUGUCAAAAAAGUUAAAGGUAUUUCUUAGUACAACCUAGGAAUAAAUGGUCUAAUUAUAUUUUUUAUUUUUAUAACAUGAUGGUUUUUAACAUAAAUUUAGUAAUAUUAAUUUAAAGAUAGGAUUCAUAUAAUGAGGCCAUUUGAACUCUCUCUGUUUCUACUACCAAUCUCUGCCACUUAUUUAUUCUAGAAACCUAAAAAAUUUAAAAAAAUUGGUACGCAUGAUAAUAAUUUAUACAUUGAUAACCAAAUCUUUUAUUUUAUUUAUUAAUUUUGUAUUAUAAAUCAUGUAAUGUACUAUUUUUAUUAUAGUUGUCAAUAAAACAUUUUAAAUUAGAUGAUAUUAUAAAAUAUUUUGGAUUUGUUAUUAUUUAUAUAAUAAAAUAAUUAUAAAAUAUUUGUGGUAUAUAAUAAUAUAGUUAGUUAGGUUGUAAUAAUUUGGGUUUUUUUAGCGGAUUAGGGUUUUCCGUCAAUUCGAGAUUUUAGUGGCCAAUUUUUCAUCGAUUUAGUCAACUCUUUAUUGUAGUCCGUAUAUGACUAUAUAUUUAUUCCAUGAUAAUUUUGUGAUUUCUUUUGUGUGAUGUAAAUUUAAUGGUCAACAUAAGUUAAUACAAGGAAAGAACAUCUCAAUAUUCAUAAAUUGAUGAAAACAAUGAAAGUUAAUAAUAUAGUACCCCAAUUUCUUAUUGGAUUUCUAAAAAACAACAUUUAUAAUGAAUUUUAAUAAUUUUUUUGAAUUUUUUUAAGGCUUAAUCCGAACAUUUUGGCCCGAUUUUCGAUUCAAAUCGUCAAUUUACCGAUCCAAAAUCGAUUUUUGGGAUGUUCGUUCCGAGUCACCAAUCCAUUUUUUAAACCAGUGGGUAGAAGGAUUAAAUCAUUUUGACUCUCUCUCUCAAUAUGUGCGUGAGGAAAGUAAAGCACUUCUGAGUUUUCACUCUCUCUAUUUGAAAAUUUGACUUUUGGACACCAAGCAAGGCAACGCCGCCUUGUCACAUUCGUUGCAGAGCGCCUAUGCUCUUGGGAGCACACUAUGUAUUUACUCCCUUUAACAAAAAAGUCUUAUUUUUUUCAAUGAAAUUUUGGGUUAACUUAAAAAGCCUAACACAAAUAGUUAGAAAUAAAGAUCUGAUGAUGAAGAAUAAAUAAGGGAUUAUUUUUAAAAGAAAAUAUUUUGGAUAUUCAGUUUUUAACAUUAGAUCUUACUUUUAGAGAUUUAGAAAAUUGUUUCAUGCGGAUUGGACUGCAUUUCUACAAAUGCGGUCCAGAAAGUGUAAAGAAUCCAUCUUAAAGAUGGAGGCAAGUAGGUGUUCCACCUAAAAACAAUAGAAAUUAACGGUCCAAAUGUUUUCUUAUUAGAAUUAUUAUUUUUAGUUUUUAAAAUUUAUUUAUUUUUUCAUAUUCAUGGUCUCCAUGUUAGAGAUUACAUGUACUUAAAAAUUAAGUCUUAAAAUCCAUCUCAAAAAUAGAUUUAUUAAGAAGCCCGUAUUUGUUCAUAUGCAGGCUUGGGCUUCGUUGCAUAGAAACAAGAUCUUUUUAGACAUUAGACAAAUUUUGUUUUAUUAUUUUUUGUUAAUUUUAUGUCUUACUCUAUAUAGUUAAGAUAAGGUUUGGAUGAUAAUGAUGAUUUUUCAUAUAUAAUAUAAAUCGUUCCUUUUCUUCUUUUUUUUCCGAAGUAAGUUGCUAGGUUGAAAAGGUCACGUCCUAAAAAUUUGGAUUUCUCACAGUUCUAGGUUUUUCCCGAAGGAUUACAAAGAUGUUAUUCUGAUAUGGGAGCACAAAAUCUUUUGGUUUACUCGUAGACUUCAAUUUUUUUUCAGAUUUUAAUGUUGGAUAAAAUGUGAAGUUUGUAUACCAAACGAUAAUGGAAAUGUUGCAGAGUGAUGAUUUUGUCAUGAACCACUUCUUUGAUAUUCAGGGGUGCAUUCAAUACUUCUGCCACUAGGAUUCUACGUUGUGCCUGCAUAGGCAAUUUUGAAGGUGAGAUUGAGGGGUAGAUGGAUACUUUCUCGAUAUCGUAGUAGUGUGAAACUUAAUUUUGAUGGGAGUUUGGAAUCCAAGACAAUAGGAAUUGGAGGGAUAAUUUUUAACUCAAAAGGACAUGGAUAUUUUAUUUACUCAGUGCCAUGUAGCGAGGCUAUAGCUAAUAUGUAAUGGAAAUGUCCGGAUGAUAAAAAGGCCAAUUCAUCUCGACAUUGAAAUUAUUGAGAGAGAGAUGUGAUGAUUUUUAUUGGAUGAUAGAAGGGAAUUUUUUAAAUGUGAUCAAUUGAUACAGUAAUGCUGGAGGACAGCUUGAGGGUUGCUUGGAUGGAAAUCUUGGACCAAGUACUGAUAUCUUAAUAAGCAAUGCAAUUAAUGGAAAAAAAAAAAAAGAAAAAGAAAAAGAAUUAUAUUAAAACCUAAAAUAAAAUAGCCUAUAAUCAUACCAUUAGUCACAAUUGACGAAUCAAAGUAAAUACUCAAAUAAAAAUAAUAUAAUAAUCAUACAAUAAAUAACAUUAAAAAAUAUUUAAUAAAUAAAAUAAUCAUCAGACUCGAACCAAUUAAUGGCGAAUAAAUGGCCUGUAACAAAGCUUCUAAGCUUACACUUCCUAUCCUUUGUGAACAAAGUCCUAUACCUUUGUUUAAUAAAAUUAUCCAACAAUAAAACUAUCCUUCGUGUCCUACUUUAAUCUUUGCGGUUUCUAUAAGUUUGCAACCUUAAACAAUCCAAUUAAAUUAAGACGACAUGUAAUUUUCAUGUAAAAAAUUAUUAGGAUAAUCUGAGAAUCUAUUUUCAUAUCUAAUUAUAAAAUUUUAAAUUUAAAAAAUGGUUAAAAUCAAGUAGAUCUAUAAACAUAUGAAAAAUUUGAAAAUGGAUGGUCUAGAUAAUGUGUUGCAAGAUGCGCUAUUUCUGGAACUCAAAAUAUAUAUAUAUUUUUUCAUAUUUAUAUAUCUCAAUGUCGAGAUGAUCAAUUAGAGGUUUUUCAACAUUAAAACUAAAGUGCAUCUAUAAUUCUACAUUUUAUGGUUGCAUCCUUAUAUAAACUUUUUCCAAAGACUAACGGACUCUCUAUAAUCAAUAAUACUAAUACUAAUAAUAAUAAUAAUAAUAAUAAUAAUAAUAAUAAUAAUAAUAAUAAUAAUAAUNNNNNNNNNNNNNNNNNNNNNNNNNNNNNNNNNNNNNNNNNNNNNNNNNNNNNNNNNNNNNNNNNNNNNNNNNNNNNNNNNNNNNNNNNNNNNNNNNNNNNNNNNNNNNNNNNNNNNNNNNNNNNNNNNNNNNNNNNNNNNNNNNNNNNNNNNNNNNNNNNNNNNNNNNNNNNNNNNNNNNNNNNNNNNNNNNNNNNNNNNNNNNNNNNNNNNNNNNNNNNNNNNNNNNNNNNNNNNNNNNNNNNNNNNNNNNNNNNNNNNNNNNNNNNNNNNNNNNNNNNNNNNNNNNNNNNNNNNNNNNNNNNNNNNNNNNNNNNNNNNNNNNNNNNNNNNNNNNNNNNNNNNNNNNNNNNNNNNNNNNNNNNNNNNNNNNNNNNNNNNNNNNNNNNNNNNNNNNNNNNNNNNNNNNNNNNNNNNNNNNNNNNNNNNNNNNNNNNNNNNNNNNNNNNNNNNNNNNNNNNNNNNNNNNNNNNNNNNNNNNNNNNNNNNNNNNNNNNNNNNNNNNNNNNAUAAUAAUAAUAAUAAUAAUAGUUAUAGGACUCUUCACAAACAUCAUUGGUACAAAAAGAUUUAAUAUUAAUUAUUCCCAAAACAUUGAAAUCUCUAUUAUAAUAUGAAAAAAAUUUAUAUAACGAUGCUACCUUAUAAUGUAGAACUAUGGAUGCCCCUAAAAAAUCCAUCGGAAAAGGUAGUUUUAAUGUUAAAAAACCCUUUGAUUGAUCAUCUCGACAUCGAGAUGUAUGACUAUGGAAAAUAAAAAGUUUUUAAGUCUCAGAAGUAGUGCAUUUUACAACAUAUUAUCUACACUGUCCAUUUUCAAGAUUUUCAUAUGUUUAUAGACCUAUUUGAUUUUAACCAUUUUUGAAAUGUUAAAUUUUAUAAUUAGAUAUAAAAAUAGAUUUUGAGAUAAUCAUAAAAAUAUUUUACAUCGAAAUUAUAUACCAUGAUAAAAUUUGAAGGUGCAUCUUACCUCUACACCUACAUAUGCCGUAUGCCAACUGCACCCUUAUAAUAUUGAGAAAACAUAAUAUAACUUAAUAAGAUUAUAUACAAGGGUGCACUUGGCAUACAGGUGCAUCCGUACCUGUAGAGGUAAGGUGCACCUUCAAAUUUUAUCAUAGUAUAUAAUUUUGAUGCAAAAUGUUAUUAGGAUUAUCUCAAAAUCUAUUUUUAUAUCUAAUUAUAAAAUUUUAAAUUUAAAAAAUGGUUAAAAUCAAGUAGAUCUAUAAACAUAUGAAAAUCUUGAAAAUGGACGGUGUAGAUAAUAUGUUGUAAAAUGCACUAUUUCUGAGUCUUAAAAUCUUUUUAUUUUUCUUGGUCAUACAGCUAGAUGUCGGGAUGAUCAAUCAAAGGGUUUUUCAACAUUAAAAUUACCUUUUCUGAUAGAUUUUUGAGGUGCAUCCAUAGUUCUACAUUAUAACGUUGCAUCCUUAUAUAAACUUUUUUCUAUAUACUAUGAGAUCAUUUACCUUUAGUAUAAGGAGGUUACAAUUAUUUAUAACCAUUCGAUAUGAAAUUUGAUAGCUUGGAUGUAUUGCAAAGUUUGAAAAAAAUUCUUUUGAACUUUGAGUUUGGUCAAUAGAAUAAAUGUAGCCACCUAAUUUCACAUACGAUAGUCUUGGAUUAAACAAAAGAUAAAUGGUUUUAUUGUAUAUUUUAUCUAAAUUAAUCAUAUAAAUGCACCUUACAUGGAAAGAUGAUAACCCUUUUUAGAAGAAUGGUUCAAGUAUACUCUAGGUAAAAAAUAACAUAUAAGAAAAUUUUCAUGAAAAAUGGUAUUUCUAAAUAAGAAACGCCACAUUUUCACGUCGAAAUAUGUCUUAAGACAUAAACAUGGUAGUGGAUAGUCAUUGGCUCUGUCGUAUCGUUUUUUAGAAGCUUUGACACAUACGUUGGUGUCAUACAAGUGUCCACACAUGAUCAGACCCUGAGAUGUAUAAGACCAGAUUUGAGUCAUUGGAAAACAAUAAAAAUGUACAUUAAGGGAACCAAUGGUUUAAAAAGCGGAUCGGUGACCAAGAUCGGGCACCUCAAAAACAGAUUUGGAUCGGCGAAUCGGCGAUCUGGAUUGGGAAUCGGUCAGAAUAAAGCUUCAAAAAAAUCCGAAAAAAUUAUUAAAAUUCAUGAUAAAUAUUGUUUUUUAGGAAUUCAAUAAGAAAUGAGGGUACCCCAUUAAGAAUUUUCAUGUUUUUGCAUGAAUAUGCGAAUAUUGAUAUGUUCUUUCCCUGCAUGAACUACUAUUCAGCAUUUAAUUUACAUCACACAAAAGGAUAAACAUAGAAUUAUCAUGGAAUAAGUAUAUCAACAUACAUGGACUACAAUAAAGCAUACAAUUAGUAACAGACGAUCUAAAAAUAAAAUGACAGACGACGUUGUUGUUCUUCUUGGUCACGCUGGUGCCAUUGAUUGAAUUCGUUUGACAAUUCAUUGAUUAGAUCUAAAAACGAAUCAUCGAUAUUAGCAGGCGUCUGAUGAUACCCAAAUCCCCGAGUGUUAGUGUUUUGUUGUGUUCCCAAUCCAAAAUCCCCGAAGCUUGUCCAUCCCUCAUGCACAGCUACACUGUCGUGCUCAUCUCUACACUGUUGCUGUUAGGACUCGAUAUGUGAAUAAUAUGGCGGGGAUAAGGUGGCCUCAGAAUCAUCGUCUCUCUCAUUUUCUCUUAGACCCCUUUCCCACUCUCUGUCAUUAGGUGCAAUAUCACCGACAUCUCCGACGAAUUGUGGAUACAUUGGUAGAUUGUUUCCUUUUUCAUGCUGCUCAUCACUUUCUUCAAGAUCUUCCUCACCGAUAUCCUCAAGGAACGCUCUCUUGUGCAACACUGGCUCCUCCUCUUCUACUACGCAUUGGUCUGCUGUGUUUGUGACAAAUAUUGUGUUUAAGUCUAUCGGCCCAUAGUCUUCAAGCCUCCUUCUUAUUUGUCGCUCUCGGAGGUUUAAAUUAUAAUGAACGUACACUAGUUUAUGAAGCUUCUCAGAAGCAAGUCGAUUCCUCCUAGUAGUGUGCAACCAUUGGAACGUACUCCAAUUGCGCUUACAGCCAGUAGCAGAACAUGUCUGGGAGAGCACCUUGAUUGCUAUCCUCUUUAAGUGAGGUGCAUCAAUACCAUAUAUCUCCCACCAUUCAGCUAGAUUAAAAUACAAAAAGCAUGGUAAGGGCAAGAACAAUUCAUAAGAUUAAGUAUAUGAAUGAAUAAAAUAUUAGCGAGGGGAUAACCUGGAUCCAUCAUAGUUCGAGAAUUCUUGGCAAGUCUAGUUCCGAAGGAUCCCAUAGUAUCCCUAUACAUCGCAAGCUAAAACAAAUAUAUUACGUUUUAGUGCAUUAUUCCUCACAAAUAUAACAACUCAAUGAAGUUCUUACCCAAACAUUAAAUAAUACCUCUUGUAGUGCUGCUAUUUGGUUUCGAUGGCUUCUCUCCAACCUUGCAAUAAUGUAUCUGACUCCUUCCAUAAUCUUGUGGGGAUGUUCAGGUAUCAAAUAGAAAAUUUUUGGGUUGAAGUAGUAACCUACAAAAUAUAUAGAUAGAAAAAUGUCAUUUACAAUUUCAUAAAAAAAUGAUUUAAAAUGAAACACUAUAAUGAUAUAAAUAUAUAUUUACCAGCAUAAUGAAUUGGACGUCCAAAUUUAGUGUUCCACCUCCUUUCUAUAAUCUCGAUCACUUUGCUAACAAAACUACACUUCUCCUCAAUAGCUGGUUUUGCCCUCUCAAUAUCUUGAUAAAGGAUACCCAUGGUACCUUUCUUGUCAGCAUCCACUAUUCUUAACACCGUGACCAAAGGGGUAGUGGCCUCUACAACACUGAAACAUCGAGACCAGAACCGCCUAUUUGAGACUAUGUUGUCCACUUUUAUACCGGUACUGGACUUCGAGAGGUGGUCAUUUAACCACUCUUCACAGGUAAACAAUCUCUUUAAUGCACUUUCAGAUUCUCGAAUAGAGUCUAUAGCUAAGUAAUCAGUUGCAAAGCAGGUCAUGGCAAGCUUGAUUAUCUCUUUUUUCUUAGAGUGUUCUCUAAACAGAAAUAAAAUUUUAGAGUGGUUGUAUCUAAAUCUCGACACCAACCUUGCUUCCUCUAGAGUCUCCUUCACAAUUUUAAUCGAGUCUCCUUCACAAUUUUAAUCUCACCGAUCUCCUCUAACAUAAGAUCGAUGCUGUGUGCAGCACACGGGGUCCAUACUAGAUGUUUCCUCUUAUCCAUCAACUUGCUGCCCGCAGAAACACAUGCACGCGCAUUGUCUGUAAUAAACUGGACUACAUGCUUAUCUCCCACCUCCUCCACUAUCUGAUCAUAUAGUCGUACGUAGAAGUUUGCAUCAUUUUUUGUCUUUGAUACUUCUUUGCUAGACAAAAAAGCUGUACUUUUUGGGGAAUAGGCCAAGAAGUUUAAAAACUCCUUUUUGCUAACUUUAUUCAACCAACCAUCACUCAUGAGAGUAAUGCUUGUCCUUGACCAACUCUGUUUAUAUUCUUCAAUCCACGUUGUAACUUCCCCCACUUCUUCAUCUAAUAGUGGCCCAUUGAGCUCAUAUGUCGUCGGGGGUUUUACCCCGGGCCCGACUCUCUGGAUUGCACUGACCAUAGGUGGAAAACAUGGGCUAUUGGCUGCAUCAAAGGGAAUCCCUUUAUCAUAGAACCAUUUACCAACAUAUCUCCCCAACAUAUUUCUUGUACCUUUAACCAUGCCUUUUAGGAUCAUCUGUUGUGACUUAGGCUUUGAGAGAAAUGGGUCUUUACGACCAUGACCUGCAAUACUGGCACUCCUAGGUAACCUAAAAACAAUUUCUUCAACAUCUGAUUCUCCUUGAUACAUAUUGCCACCAACCCCUCCAUACAUAUUUGAGCUGGGCCCGCCAUAUGCUCGAGCUGGACCCACCAUGCAUGUCUGAGCUAGGCCCACCAUGACAUGUCUGANNNNNNNNNNNNNNNNNNNNUGCAUUAACAACAGAUUAAAAAAAUGCAGUUUUGCAUUAAAAAUAUAACAACAUGCAUUUUUUUUGCAUAAAUAAUCUAUCAACAUACAAUUUUUUCAACAAAAACUUUAACAAUAAAAAAUUUAAAUAUGGUUUAAUACCUCAUGAUAAUUAAAACCUUGUCCCGAUUUUCACAUCUUUUCGGAAAAUCAUCAUUUUUCCAAAAAUUCGAUCUUGGAAAAAAAAAAAAAGUACAACAAACUCAAACAAUAAAAAUUUAAAAUUGGGUUUAAUACAUCAUGAUAAUCAAAACCUUAUCACGAUUUUCACAUCUUUUCGAAAAAUCAUCAUUUUUCAAAAAAUUCGAUCAUGGAUAAAAAAAAAAAAAAAAUACAGCAAAUUUUCAAAAAAUUCGAUCAAUGAUUACAAAAAAAAAAUUCAAUCAUGGAUUAAAAAAAAAAAUUAACAAAUUUUCAAAAAAUUCGAUCAUUGAUUACAAAAAAAAAUUCGAUCAUGGAUUAAAAAAAAAAAAUCACAAAGUUUCAAAAAAUUUGAUCAUGGAUUACAUAAAAUUCGAUCAUGGAUUACAUAAAAUUCGAUCAUGGAUUACAUAAAAUUCGAUCAUGGAUUAUAGAAAAAAAAAGAACAAAAAAUUCGAUCAUGGAUUACAAACAAAGAAAAAAACAAUUCGAUCAUGUAUUACAAAAAAUUCAAUCAUGGAUUACAAAAAACUCUAUCAUGGGUUACAAAAAAAAAAAAAACAAAAAAUUCGAUCAUGGAUUACAAAAAAAAAAACAAACAUUUCGAUCAUGGAUUACAAAAAAUUCGAUCAUGGAUUACAAAAAAUUCUAUCAUGGGUUACAAAAAAACAAAAAAUUCGAUCAUGGAUUACAAAAAAAAAAAAACAAUUCGAUCAUGGAUUACAAAAAAAUAAAAUAAAAUAUGUUCUUCACGGAGCCAUCUUACAUAAGCCAUUUUAACUCAAAAAUCCACCUCUAAGAUAAUAAAUUAUAUCCAAUUGAGUACAUUUUCUGAUAAACAACAACAUAAGGAAUCAAAACCCUAAAUUUUGAACACAUUAUCAUCAAUAAAUCAAAUCAAAUAGAUUAAAUUGAGCCAAAAAAAAAACACACGUAGUUCUUCACAGACAACAGUCUUUGAAUCUAAAAAAUGAAGCUCAAAUUGAAUAAAUCAGAUCAAAUUGAAUACAUCUAAUUAUAAACAACACUAUAGUGAUUAAAAACGCUAGAAAUCUAACACAUUAUUUGUAAUAUAUCAUGAACAAAAAAUCGAAAGGCGGAAAAAAAAAAAAAAAACAAGCAGAAGUGUUUUUUCACAGACAUCACUGUGUUCAUCUAAAAAAUCAUGUUGUAAUUGACCAAAUUAAAUAAAAUUGAAUAUGUUAAAUCAUAAUAGGCACAAUAAAGAUUAAAAACCCUACAAAUUGAACUCAUUAUCUUCAAAAUAUGCAGUGAAAUUAAUCAUAUGGUGGAAAAAAAAAAAACCCAAACUUCUUACCUGGUUUUGUGAACCCAAGUAGCUUUGUUUUUCUCAACGAUUAUCACAAAUUCGUAACAGAAAGUUUUGAUGAACAACUUUAUGAUCAAAAUGCCUACAAAUUUUGACAGAUUCAUGCUCUAUUUAGCAUGAAACACAAGGAGAGGCAGAAACCCUAAAAAUGCAACUUUCGUGAUCCAAAAACACAAAAUUUCUCAACUAUUUAAUCCAUGAAAAAGCUGUUUAAAGCCUGCAUAUUAGAUCACAUGCCAAAAAAAACAAGAAAAAUGGUCAAAAAAUGAUAAACUUUGAAGAAUCCCGUGAAGAACAUUGUGCAGCUCGUGUUCUUCACGGGACUCGUCGAUUCUGUACAGUGAAUCGACGAGUCACUGUACAGAAUCGCCUGGUUCUCUUUAGAACCAGGUGAUUACCGAUUUUUUGAACGAUUUGAGACGUCUAUGGCCGAUUCUCGAGUCGAACCGGGAGAGUCCGAUUCGACUCGACGGUUUUUUAAACACCGAAGGAAACACAACAUCUAAAAUUGUGUUUUCAAGCAUAUAAGCUUGAAGUUGUAGGAUAUUUAGAUGUAUAUUUUGCUGGGUAUAUGGAUGAUAGUAAAUCCACAUCAAGACAUAUUUUCCUCUUUAGAGGGGCAUCUAUUUCUUGGUUUAGUAAGAAACAAGGGUGUGUAGGAGGGUAUACACAUGAAGCAGAAUACAUUGCAUGUAGCACUGCUUGUACUUUCGUGCUCUGGAUAAAGUGUUUCAAAGAUAAUUUGAAGCUGCAAAAAAUCGACGGACCAAUCCAAAUAUUUUGUAAUAAUCAAGACGCAAUUAAAUUAAUUCAAAGUGGAGCAAAUAGCUCUAAAAGAAGACAUAUAUAUGUCCAACAUUACUACAUUUAGGAUGUAGUUGAGAAAGGUGAAGUAACCGUUAGUUACUUGCCCUUAUCAGAUAUGAUUGCUGAUCUAUUAACAAAUUGUCUAAGUGUUGAACUACUGUUUAAACACACUAGCUUAAUGAGACUUAAAAAUGUUUAAGUCAGACAGUUUUUCCUGAGUGAAAAAUCCACAUUAGCGUGAAAAUCCUCAUGAUAAACUAGCUUAAUGGGAUUUAAAAAAUGUUUAAGUCAGACAGUUUUCAUGAGUGAGAAAUCCGCAUUAGCGUGAAAAUCCUCAUGAUAGACGUUUGUUAUGAGAGACAUAUCCGCAAAAGUGUGAGAAAAGCCCCAUGACAAGAUAUUUUUUUAAAGAUCAUACUCAAAAGUGGGAGUAUGCAUGUGUCUUAUUAUGCUCGGCCGUCAUAGCCAAGUGGGAGAUGUUGGUCUUACGUGCCUUAGCCUAUAUAUAUGGGAAUUCCAUAUAUCCAACAGUUAUAUCAUAUGAAUAUAACUCUUCAUCCAACGGUCAUAUCCAUAUGGCCGUAACCCUUUAGAAACCCGUUGGAGAUCAAGGAACCCUUUCGUUUCUCAUAGACACGUUAGAGAAAUACAAUGAUUACCCCUUCUUAUCCCUAUAAAAUGGGAAGCCAGAGAGUGGAUGCAUACAACAAGGAAAAAAUGUACACCUCUCUAAAAGGCGAAAGGAUGAAAAUUCGAGCUCUGCGAUCGCCAACCUCAUGACAACCAUUCUCUGAUAUCGAGUUUGAUCUUAUACUAUCUUCAUCAAGUUUUGCUAACAAAAUCAUCGAAGGGCAAAUGUAAGUGGCUACUUUAGCAUCUGGCCGCACAACAUUACCAACAACUUGCGGAAAUCAGAGCAUGUAAAAGCACUGCAUGCCUCUAAAACUCACAAAACAAGAAUGCCUACGAAUCUUAGCUGGAAGCGGUACAGAGAGAAAGUGAGAAACAAUUAUUUAAAGGGAAAAUAUCUCCUUAUCCCCUAUUUUUAACUUACAUAUCUCAUGAAACCCAAAAAUUGAAAAUAUUACUUGCAAGCAAAAUGUCUCCAUCUUUGCUCUCUUACAAACCCUUGGACCAUGACCAUAAAUUUUUGACCUAAACAAACACUAAAAUGACAACAUAUUAAAACUCCAUCUCUCUUUAUUCGCUUCUCGAUGAGUUUACCAACGAAGGGGUUUAUCUUGAGCUCGAACACGAGCACAUCUUCUUAUGUGUGUGAGAGAGAUGGAGUUUUACAGAGAGAGAGAGAGAGAUGGAGUUUGGGUUUUAGAGAGAGAUGAAGUUUUAGAGUGAGAGAGAGAGAUGGAGUUUGAGUUUUAGGAAGAGAGAUGGAGUUUUGAG
rnacentral:lncRNA from 1 species